GUGCUCACUUUGGCAGCAUAUAUACUAAAAUUGGAACAAUACAGAGAAGACUAGCAUGGUCCCUGUACAAGGAUGGCAUGCAAAUUCAUGAAGUGAUCUAUAAUUUU
ensembl:snRNA U6 U6 spliceosomal RNA